UAACACUCCAAGUUCCAGAUCGAUAAACAGUGUAAAUUACUGCACGUGUUCCAUAUGAGUUUAUUUCAUUGUUGCAAUAAAUAAUAAACUAAUAAACUUACAUAUAACUAAAAUAAAACAAUCAUCAACGCAAGAUGUUUAAAAAAAUGAACAAUGCAGUUAAUACGGUAACGGAUGUCGUAAAAGGAAUGUAUUACGAUCCAUUUAAAUGGUCGGUGGUGAAAAGCAUUGCAUUUUUUUCACUGGGAGUAAAAAUAGCUUUAGAAUGCAAAGGAAUGGAUAUUAUGCCACCAGUUACAGUAUAAAACAAAUCUAGCAACAAUGAUUCAUUGUUAAGCUUGUUGACAUCUAGCAUACCACCAAGAUUUGUUUUAAUUAUACAUCAUUUUUAAUUAAAUAGAUUGUACUAUAA
rnacentral:lncRNA from 1 species